rnacentral:misc_RNA from 1 species
UUUUGGCAUUACAAAGGCGCUUAUUUCUUAAUGUUCUUGCAACUCAAUCACUUCCUUAACCAUUCUUUUAGAAUUCCCGAUGGAUUUCUUCAAAUCAGUAUUUGCAGACGAACCAGAUUUUCCUAAAUCCGAUUCCGAAUCUAAACCCUCCUCUGAUCGACCACCAUCGGACUCAGGUCCCAGCUCCCCACCUAAACUGCAAAAUUCUAAGCCUGACC